CUGGCUCAAGAAGAACUCUGGCGGCGUGCUUAGCACAUGCAAGUCGAACGAUGAAGCGGUGCUUGCACCGUGGAUUAGUGGCGAACGGGUGAGUAAUACGUGAUUGACCUACCUUUGACUCUGGGAGAAACCUGGGAAACUGGGUCUAAUACCGGAUACGACCAAUCUCUGCAUGGGGUGUUGGUGGAAAGCGUUAUGGAGUGGUUUUACAUGGGCUCACGGCCUAUCAACUUGGUGGUGAGGUAAUGGCUUACCAAGGCGACGACGGGUAGCCGGCCUGACAGGGUGACCGGCCACACUGGGACUGAGACACAGCCCAUACUCCUACGGGAGGCAGCAGUGGGGAAUAUUUGCACAAUGGGCGCAAGCCCGAUGCAGCGACGCCGCGUGAGGGAUGACGGCCUUCUGGUUGUAAACCUCUGUUAGCAUCGAAGAAGCGAAAGUGACGGUAGGUGCAGAGAAAGCGCCGGCUAACUACGUGCCAGCAGCCGCGGUAAUACGUAGGGCGCGAGCGUUGUCCGGAAUUAUUGGGCGUAAAGAGCUUGUAGGCGGUUGGUCGCGUCUGCUGUGAAAGGCCGGGGCUUAACUCCGGUUUUGCAGUGGGUACGGGCUAACUAGAGUGCAGUAGGGGAGACUGGAAUUCCUGGUGUAGCGGUGGAAUGCACAGGUAUCAGGAGGAACACCGAUGGCGAAGGCAGGUCUCUGGGCUGUAACUGACGCUGAGAAGCGAAAGCAUGGGGAGCGAACAGGAUUAGAUACCCUGGUAGUCCAUGCCGUAAACGUUGGGCACUAGGUGUGGGGGACAUUCCACGUUUUCCGCGCCGUAGCUAACGCAUUAAGUGCCCCGCCUGGGGAGUACGGCCGCAAGGCUAAAACUCAAAGGAAUUGACGGGGGCCCGCACAAGCGGCGGAGCAUGCGGAUUAAUUCGAUGCAACGCGAAGAACCUUACCAAGGCUUGACAUGCAUUAGAUCGCGUCAGAGAUGGCGUUUCCCUUCGGGGCUGGUGUACAGGUGGUGCAUGGUUGUCGUCAGCUCGUGUCGUGAGAUGUUGGGUUAAGUCCCGCAACGAGCGCAACCCUCGUUCUAUGUUGCUAGCGGUUCGGCCGGGGACUCAUAGGAGACUGCCGGGGUCAACUCGGAGGAAGGUGGGGAUGACGUCAAAUCAUCAUGCCCCUUAUGUCUUGGGCUUCACGCAUGCUACAAUGGCCGGUACAGAGGGUUGCGAUACUGUGAGGUGGAGCUAAUCCCUUAAAGCCGGUCUCAGUUCGGAUUGGGGUCUGCAACUCGACCCCAUGAAGUCGGAGUCGCUAGUAAUCGCAGAUCAGCAACGCUGCGGUGAAUACGUUCCCGGGCCUUGUACACACCGCCCGUC
rnacentral:rRNA from 1 species